AUUUUGUUUCCGGAAAGACAGAGCUGCUGCAGCACCCAAAGAGGGGCAACGUAAUGCUGUAACAUGGAGCUCCCCUUGCUGGCUCCAGAGGAGCUGCCCUAAGCUCACCGCCCAGGCAGGUGCCACCUCUACGCUGCGUCUUUCUCCUGAACAGUGUUCUUUCGAGGGUGCACGCUAGCAAUAAAACGGCCAUAGCUGGUGACGUUUCUCGCUACUUCUUCAAUCAGUGUUCAGAGAUGUGCAGAUACCCAUCUCCUUCAGAAGACGUAGCACAGAAAGUCAGCACGAGACAGUGCAAGGCCAUGACGUGCGUCUGCAAGGAUGGAGAGCCAGGAAGCACUGGGAUGCAGCACGCUGGCUUUCAGCCCAGAAGGUUUUCCAUAAAGCAAGUGGCAGAACGGCCAGCAAGCAAUAGGCCUGACACUGCUGCACACAUGGGGCUUCGCCUGAGUGCGUCAGCACUGUCCGGACAAUGGUGGGAAUGUACCAAAGCUGCUGCCUGCCCUUCUCCUGCGCUGUCUCUUGGCGAUACAAGUCUCAGCAGUCCAUGAGCCCCCUAGAGUACUGGAUAAAGCUGGGGAGCGGCCCUGGGGCUGGUGGCACCCCAAGUAUUGCUGCCAUCACGUGGCUUCAUGCCAUUUGGGUUUCCCUGAAUUACCACCCUUGUUUCUUCACCCUUUGGCUCUGAGCAGCAGGAUUCAGCCUGGGCACACAGCCACCUCCACUGUGUAGCAGGGAUUCACAGCCAGGCUUCCUUCCCCUCUGUGCUCCUUGAGGGGACAUGACCGAGCUGUGACGGAGCACAAGGCCACAUUUGCUCCAUGUCUCUCUGGAGGAGGAACCAGGGCGUCCCUUUCCCUCACAGCAGCCAGGAUUUCCCCAGCACUGCACUGGAGCAGCCCCAUGGCGAGGAAGGCACACCGCCAGAAAGGGGAAAAUGGCAGGUACUCCUGAGCCUGUUUGCUCAGCAGUAUCAGACUGAUUCAGAGAGGUGAGGCCACGUACGUGGCACCAUCAGAGAAAGGUGAGAAGAUUCUGAUUCUGUUAUUGGCUAAGUUCAGAAAAUACUCUGCUGGGAAACUU
rnacentral:lncRNA from 7 species